GCGGGGCCGCGGCGCCCGACUGCCCGCCUGGGGCUGCCGAGGAGCGUGUUCAUUCCACGCGGUGAGUGUUCCCUGGCCCACAAGAGAGUCAUCCAGGCCUUGUACCCAGAGUCCCUCCUGGGCUGACAGCAGAAGUUCCAGUAAGCCGUUGCCGAAUACCCAGCACUCACGUGUUUUCACCAAGGAGCCAGGCUUCCAUGCUGCUCUGGAAUGGAGAGCAAGAAGACCCUGAGCUCCCUGGAUCCUGACAACAUGGUUGGUGUGUGAGGUCAGCCAGGUGUGGACUCACAGCUCCUGGUGGGAGCCAGCAAGAAGCAGCCCGCGGCCUACAGAGGCAUCUGAG
rnacentral:lncRNA from 1 species